AAGCACCGGCUAACUCCGUGCCAGCAGUCCGCGGUAAUACGGAGGGUGCGAGCGUUAAUCGGAAUUACUGGGCGUAAAGCGCACGUAGGUGGUUCGGUAAGUCGGAUGUGAAAUCCCUGGGCUUAACCUGGGAAUUGCAUUCGUAAACUGCCUCACUAGAGUCUAGCAGAGGGAUGCGGAAUUCCGGGUGUAGCGGUGAAAUGCGUAGAGAUCCGGAGGAACAUCAGUUGGCGAAGCGGCAUCCUGGGCUAAGACUUGACACCUGAGGUGCGAAAGCGUUGGGGUAGCAAACAGGUAUUAGAUACCCCUGGUAGUCCACGCCGUAAACGAUGUCUAACUAGCCGUUGGGAGGGGUAAAACACUUUUAGUGGCGCAGCUAACGCGAUAAGUGGACCGCUCUGGGGAGUACGCGCGCAAGCAGUAAAACUCAAAUGGAUUGACGG
rnacentral:rRNA from 2 species